rnacentral:misc_RNA from 1 species
GCAAGGUUGCUGUCAUCCCUGGCAUAGAAAAUGUUAGACUUUCAGUUCUUGCUUUCAGCAAGUUUUCCAUUUUUGUGAAUAUGACUUUAUAAGCGAAUAGAAGCAAAACCAUCAUUAGAUGCACAGUGUUAAUAUAAAGAGAAGGUGACUAGCCUUAUCUCAACACUGGGAAAUUAAGGGGAAAAAAGGUAGUAGAUACAUGCAAAGGCACAAUGGAUUUAGAUUUACUGAGAUGGCCUUGAAACUGUACCUGUCAAGUGUUGC